rnacentral:tRNA from 1 species
GCUUUAGUGGUGUAACUGUAACACUCUCGUAUUCGAGAGAUCCAGGUUCGAAUCCCGGCGACAGCA